CACGAGCCACGAGGACAGACUGAUACGGCAGCCACACUUUUAAGUAAUCAUCAGGUCUGACUGAAACAGCGUUUCUGCCUUUUACAGGUGGACAGAAAAAAUAAUAAUGUUGACACAUUGUUGAUAAUAUUACUACAUUUCAAGGCUUUUUCAAUACAGUGAAAUUAGUUGAAACAGAGCCGAGUUGUAUUAGAAAACAGCAAUCCGCACAGCCCGACAGCCCGGCGAAUCUGGGAUGAAUUAGUGCUGCCUCAACCUCCUCGUCUUUCAUUGGGUCACUGAAGUUUAAAUUAAGUGGAUGAGAAACCCAUGGGGAGGGCUCUGCAUAAAUGAGAGUAAAGUUGAAUUUUAAACGCGUUAAAACUGUCACAAAGUGGCGUUAAAAGCGGCGUUUUAUGUCACAGAACGGCGAAAAAAGCGGCGUUCAAUGUCCGUACCAAACGCCGUAUUUUACGCCACCCACACAGAGAACGCGUCUGGGAUUAGGGUGACGUAAAAAACGGCGUUCAAUGUCCGGAAAAAACGGCGUAUUUUACGGGCGUUCUACGGGACCGUUCAGAACGGCGUAAAUUACGGCGUUCUGGCAGAGUUUUCGCCGUAUUUUACGACGUCUUGGCACAUCAAACGGCGUUUUUUUCGCCAUUUCUUAACUAGACGGGUUGGGAAAGUGGCGUAUUGUGACGGUUUUGGCUUGCCAUAUUGCGCUUCCGUAUUUUUCAACCGGCAACAUACUACUCCCGUUCGCGCUGAGUGGUCAGAAUGACUAUUUGUACGCGUUUGCUGCAAGACCUCCCAAUAAUAAUGGUUAACGAUGUACACCGAAUCUUUCUUGCCUCGUCCGAAACGCCAAAAUCAAAUAUGGACAAAGCUUGUAUUGUAUGUGCCCGGCUACAUACACAGCUGUGAAGAUUGUGCUAAGGGAUUCAAAGCCGGUGGGGGUGCCAGUGUACGUGUGGCUGGUGCAGCCUUGUGAUGUCAUGUGGCAACUCAACUCUACCAGACGGCACAUUUCUCCCAGCUGAAACUUACCCCCCCCCCAGUGUUGAGCUGCACAGAAACUGAACAACAGCGGCACGAAACGGGGACCAAGGUAUUAAACCAGGUCCCGUUAAUGACAUGGUCAUCAUAUCAGCCAGACCAAGAGAGAGGAGACCGGUAGAAGAAGCAGUUUGUAAAAAGGAGUCAGCUUCCCCAAUGACAGACAGCUUCGUUCUGAAGGUGCAGGAGGCGUACCACGGACUUGGGACAGAUGAGGCUCCGGUGAUAACAACCAUGGCUGUCUCUGGUGAUGUACCUCUGGGUGGGUCCACGUUUGGUUCGGUGCAGGAGGGAAGCGGGCCAUCUUACCAACUACCAGUGAGGACGGCCCCCAGGACGCGUCCACACAAAGACAACCCUUCUCUCCCACAACUGUCACUCUCUCAUUAUGGACUGGGACCCUCUGCAUGUGCAUUUGUGUUUGCUGAACAUCAUCAUUUCACAUCCCUCACAACAUCAUUGGGGAAAUCAUACAAAGCUGAGAACAGGACACAAUCGCAGAGUUUCUGUGUGGAGGGGCACCAACUAAGGCAGGGGUCGGCAACCCGCGGCUCUUUCUUCCAUCUGAUGCGGCUCACUGCUUGUAAACUAAUUAACAAAUGUUUAAUUACAAUGCAUUUUAUUUUACUGCAUUCAUUUUUUAUCUGUAGCCAAUUCGAAAUUGAAAGAUUGUGUGUGUAAACCUGAACAGGUCACCUGCUUGUGCGUAAUCAAAUGUCUCUAUAGGUGCUUUCUGUGCUGAAGAGGAUAUGAGAUUCUGGACUGUUCCUCAGACAGCCUCAUGGAUGCGUCGCAGUGUUGGAGGCAGGAACAAGCGCUAUUCAGCCAAAGUUUCAUAAUCAGGGAACAUUUUUUAAGUGACAAGUCUCUGAGAGACCGGGUUUAGAAAACAGAAUCUUUCUGCAUAGUUCUGGUUCUGCUAAGCGCUGCAAGCCCCCGAUCUGUUUUCAGCUUGCUGUCCACCAUACGCAUGCGCUGACAGCGAGCUGCGCUGAGCUCAGUGUCCAUCUCAGAUGUUCUGAUGAUGGGAAUCUUUUCCUGACUGAUGGAUGUAGCUACCUCCACGAUGUGCGUAACGAUUAAAAAGUCACCGCAUCUGCAGGCUUGAGGUUUCUCCGUCAAAAUAAAUACAGGAAAUAUCCAGUCAGUGCGAACCCUGUCAUUUAACCGUUUGACCUUCUUGUGAAGAUUGUUGCAAACAGAAACAUUAAAUCUGAUGAACACCAGAGCCACGCACACCGCUCCGUUAUCUCCGUUAGUGUAAAUGAGGGGAAUAAACUGAUUGGAUCCUUACCUUUUCAACAACGUUUAAUGCAAAGUUUAGUUCAGUACAAAGAUUAAUUACAACAGUCCAAUGAGACAGAGCCUGGAUUUGUAUUCAGAACAGUUAUGUGUGACUCCUCAAAAAGCAUCACCUGCUCAACGAUUAAAACCACUAGCAGGGUGAAAAAUAUCUAAAUAUUGUAUCACGGACGGGCUACAACUUUUGGAUCAAUUUUAUACAAACUGUUCUAUUAAUUAUCUCCUGUUGAAAGAUAAAUUUGAGGUACAUGAGCAACUGGCAUUGGUUGCUGUCACCUGUUGUGAUUGGUUAAAGCAGCUCUCUGCUAUCUGAGGGCAGGCCCCGCCCACAACGCCGCGGCUCCCAGUGUUUAUUGUGGGAAAUGGGUAAUAAUGGCUCUUUGAUGAGAAAAGGUUGCCGACCCCUGAACUAAGGAGAUGCCACAUCACUUCUACAAAAUUUAGAUGUGUGUCACACCAGGGCAGAAGGUUCUGCUGAGAACCUUGUGAAACGACUUGUGGGGGCAAGUAGUCAGACUGAUGACAAAUGUUGGGGUCUCGCUUUGGAGCCUACAGCCAUCGAGGAGCACUGCAAGGUAAGAGAGGUAAACCACUACCCAUGUGGGGUCCUGAUCCACGCUGAGGCACCAUGGAUGGGUUCAGCACCAGAUGGGAUUAUGUAUGAUCCAGAGGGCAGCCUGAGUGUGGCCUGUUGGAAAUGAAAUGCCCAAAUGUGUGUAGCUUUGUGGACUUAUGCUCAGAAAAGUUGUACACACACUGUGGCGUUCUCAUCCUUAUUACUGGCAGGUCGGGGGACAAAGGCUGAGUGUUCUGACUUUGUUGUUUACACCACAGAUGACAUGUUUAUUCAGCGAGUUCCCGUGACAUGAAAGUCAUACAGACACUUUUGUAAUGUUUUGAUUGCAGUUUGAACGUAAAGACUUACUGUGAAGCAAAUUCAGUUGAACUCUGCAGUGAAAUUAAAUAUUUCUGCAUUUU